rnacentral:piRNA from 1 species
UACUCGUUCCUACAAGGCAGCCUUUGCAC